CCCUUAGAUGUUCUGGGCAGCACGCGCGCUACAAUGGUCUUCGCAAACGGAUGCAUUCUCGAAGGAGAAUGCCAAUCUUGGAAUCUAUGCCUUGGUCGGGACAGUUGCUUGCAAUUUUUCGACUGGAACCAGGAAUUCCUUGUAAUCGUGAUUCAUCACAUCACGAUGAAUACGUCCCUGCCCUUUGUACACACCGCCCGUCGCUCCUACCGAUCGAAGAGUUAGGUGAAUUGUUUUGAUCGAUAAGAUUUGACUAUGGUCAACUCUCGUUGUGAAAUUCUGUGAAUCUGACUGUUUAGAGGAAGGAAAAGUCGUAACA
rnacentral:rRNA from 1 species